rnacentral:lncRNA from 1 species
CCGCACAGCUCCGCCAGUGAUUGCCUGGCUGGAGACUCAGAUACUCAAGUUUCCCUUGGCGUGCUCUCCUGGUGGGUAGGCUAGGCUAACCCCCAAACCCUGCGGUGCUCUCCGCGGGAAGAAGGGCGCUGAGGGCGCAGGUUGUCAGCUCAGAGCGUAAGGACGCGUGUAUGUAAGGAGGGGCAAGGCGAGCGGUACCAGCCCCAGGGUCCGGCUAGUCUACCUCGGUGUGCUCCUCUGCACCCCAGGACUGAGCUAGGCUGCUCCAGCAGGCGAGGAUCCCGGAGCCAAGGAGUUCCGAGAGCCCGGGGAUUAAGCGGCUACUUCAUGAACUCCAAAUCCCCAGGCACCCGCGCCCCGGUUUAUGAUGAUCGCUGAGCUAGCGCCCCCCCCCCCCGCUUCCACUUCCAGAUGCCAGCCUGUGGCUUGGGGCAGGAAGCAGCCGGGCGCUCCAGGAUUCUCGGGAUUGGGACUGUAGACAGAAGAAAGCCUGGCUGUUGUGGGAGACCCGCUGCUGAGCCCAGAGAGCUGCGACCGUGUUUCUGCCACGUAAAACAUAGGCAGACCUUGGAGCGCGGAGCCUGGUUGCAGCGGAGCACGGCCUCCUCACCCUGUCCUCACCCUGCGUAAAGGCGCGGGGCUGGGUAACCCCCCCCCACCCCCGACGCUGCAGGCUGUAUUGUUCCCCGAGAUUUGAAGCCCUCUCCUUUGGGGUUACAUGAACCCGGAGGAUGGGUGGUGGCGCGCCUUUCAGCUAGGGGGCAGGCGCCUACAGACACUGACCAGCCACGUAGAAACACAGGUGCUCCAGGAAUUCUGAAUCUGGGGUCGAGGGGCCCAUUUCUGUGCAUCCCGAGGGAGGAGGGACAAGACUGGCAAGAAUCGGGUAUUGGGGUGUCAGGAUGAUCUUGGCAAGUGUCUCCUAGCGUCAGCUUUAGAUUACAGACAAUUGUGUCCACCGGCCCUCCAGCCUCCGAGGAGGUGCCUCCUGGGCGUCUGCCGGGUGCUCCCCUCCCCCAUCUCGUCCGGUUCCCUCCUCGAGGGCUUUCCGAGAACUGCAGCAGGUGGCGUUUGGCGUAUGAAUAGCAAGGACAACCCAGGGACUUAAACUGGUUGUGGCCUCUGAUCAAGCACUUCACCGGGCUCAUUGCCCUCCGAAGGAGUCGGUGAAGAAGGUGAAAAGGUCAUAAGCCUUCUGGGAAGUGGCAUUUAUAGACUCACUGCCAUCACAGAGACUGACUCCUACCUGGUGCAAGAGCUGGCAAAGAUUUAGGAAUGCUGGCAAGGAGACUCUGGUCAAAGGUUUUGGCUGAAAAACUAGGGUCAGCCAGGGAGAAAGGACGCUGGGACACUGGUGCUCCAGGCCAGGACUCUGCGUUGGGUGUCUGGGCUGGGCGCUCGACUGAAGCUUGUGCGAGGCGCGGAGCUGCUGCUUAUGCUCCCGCGCCCGACUCAGCCUUCUUUCCGGCCCUGGUUACCCGGCCCCGCCUACAGCACAGAUCCGCCCCCCUCCCCGCCCCAUCGCACCUCCACCCCGGGCGCAGUUAGCCAGCCCCGUCCCGAAGCGCCUCCGUUAGUCGCCACUGGGCUUCCUCCUAGGCUGCCUGACCCGUUGGAAGCCCCCCGGUGUGAUUAUCCCAUAUCUUUUGCUUGACGUGUGGAUUGUGUAUAUAUUCCGUGGCCAGUCAAUUGCUCAAGAAAAGAAUUCCAGGCUGCCUACACUGGUGGUGGUCAUCAGCUACAAGGAAGACAUUGUGGAGAGAGGCCCUGAGAAAUGAAUCUUUGAAUUCUAUGACCAGAAGAAGAGGGGAAUAUGCUAGGCUAAGGAUAGGCAACAUGUUCACAAGGUCUUUUACUAAACAUGGAGCUCAUUGGUUUGCCUAGAUUGGCUAUCCAAAUAUCCCCGGAGGUCUGUCUGUUUCUACUUCCCCGUUACCAGAAUUACAGACAGGUCUGUGCCACUGGAUCUGGCUUUUUAUGUGGGCGCUCGGGUUGGGAACUCAGGUCCUCAUGUUUAUUCAACACUGAGUUACUUCCCCACAGCCAGCUCUCUCUCUCUCUCUCUCUCUCUCUCUCUCUCUCUCUCUCUCUCUCUCUGCUAUCCUUAGUUGUUUUCAAGCGAGAAAAUAGAAAAUGUUCUGAUUUUAGUUUUAAUAUGGUUGGUGUUUCUAUUCUGUGCUUAGUUUCCCUCCCUUCCUUCCUCUCUUUCUCUUUCUUUCUUUCUUUCUUUCUUUCUUUCUUUCUUUCUUUCUUUCUUUCUUUCUUUCUUUCUUGUUUUAUAAUAUAAAUAUCCAGUGGGGGCCAAAUAGCUUUAAUUUCAGAACCAGAAACUCAUGCUCCAUUGAGCUUCUAGUGAGCGUAUAAAGCAAAUGAAGGUGAUUUUUAACUCCAUCUCCUUUUUCAUUGUUGUGAUGGUUAACCAAUUUGACGAGAUUUGCAGUCACCUGUGAGUUUGACUGAGGGGGUAAGACCCACCUUGUGUUUGGGUGGCAUUAUCCCAUGGCCUGGAGUCCUGGACUGAAGGAAAAGAAGAAAGUGAGCUGAGCACCAGCGUCCAUCUCCUGUUUCCUGACUGCUGAUGCACUGUGACCAGCUGGCUCAUACUUUCCCCCCACCGUGUCAGACUGUACCCUGGGAUUGUGCAUCAAACAAUGCUGAGCCUGGUGAUGCGUGGUUCAUUUGGAAAGAGAAUAAAGGACAAAUUCUGCUGCCCGCCUGUGCAACAGUCUUCACCAACUAAUUAAAUCCACGGUGCUUUCUGGCCUUAUGGAGACUUCGUGCAAUCCAGUCUGGAAUCUUGUCACAUCCAGAAGAUCUGUUGCUGUCCAGGUUUCCAUGGCAGCUAAAUUUUUUCCUUUUUGUGAA